rnacentral:rRNA from 1 species
GACAGCAGUCGCCACGGUAAUACGUAGGUCCCGAGCGUUGUCCGGAUUUAUUGGGCGUAAAGCGGGCGCAGGCGGUUAGAUAAGUCUGAAGUUAAAGGCUGUGGCUUAACCAUAGUACGCUUUGGAAACUGUUUAACUUGAGUGCAAGAGGGGAGAGUGGAAUUCCAUGUGUAGCGGUGAAAUGCGUAGAUAUAUGGAGGAACACCGGUGGCGAAAGCGGCUCUCUGGCUUGUAACUGACGCUGAGGCUCGAAAGCGUGGGGAGCAAACAGGAUUAGAUACCCGCGUAGUCCCUGUCUCUUAUACA